rnacentral:rRNA from 1 species
ACGGGAGGCAGCAGUGGGGAAUAUUGGACAAUGGGGGAAACCCUGACCCAGCGACGCCGCGUGAGUGAAGAAGUAUUUCGGUAUGUAAAGCUCUAUCAGCAGGGAAGAUAAUGACGGUACCUGACUAAGAAGCCCCGGCUAACUACGUGCCAGCAGCCGCGGUAAUACGUAGGGGGCAAGCGUUAUCCGGAUUUACUGGGUGUAAAGGGAGCGUAGACGGAAGGCCAAGUCUGAUGUGAAAGCCCGGGGCUCAACCCCGGGACUGCAUUGGAAACUGGUCAUCUGGAGUGCAGGAGGGGUAAGCGGAAUUCCUAGUGUAGCGGUGAAAUGCGUAGAUAUUAGGAGGAACACCGGUGGCGAAGGCGGCUUACUGGACUGUAACUGACGUUGAGGCUCGAAAGCGUGGGGAGCAAACAGGAUUAGAUACCCUGGUA